rnacentral:rRNA from 1 species
AUUGAACGCUGGCGGAAUGCUUUACACAUGCAAGUCGAACGGUAGAGGGGGCAACCCCUCGAGAGUGGCGAACGGGUGAGUAAUAUAUCGGAACGUGCCCAGUCGUGGGGGAUAACGUAGCGAAAGUUACGCUAAUACCGCAUACGAUCUAAGGAUGAAAGCGGGGGAUCGCAAGACCUCGCGCGAUUGGAGCGGCCGAUAUCUGAUUCGGUAGUUGGUGGGGUAAAGGCUCACCAAGCCAACGAUCUGUAGCUGGUCUGAGAGGCCGACCAGCCACACUGGAACUGAGACACGGUCCAGACUCCUACGGGAGGCAGCAGUGGGGAAUUUUGGACAAUGGACGCAAGUCUGAUCCAGCCAUUCCGCGUGCAGGAUGAAGGCCCUCGGGUUGUAAACUGCUUUUGUACGGAACGGAAAGGUCUCUCUUAAUACGGGGGGCUCAUGACGGUACCGUAAGAAUAAGCACCGGCUAACUACGUGCCAGCCGCCGCCGUAA